GAUGAAGAACGCAGCGAAAUGCGAUAAGUAAUGUGAAUUGCAGAAUUCAGUGAAUCAUCGAAUCUUUGAACGCACCUUGCGCUCCCUGGUAUUCCGGGGAGCACGCCUGUUCGAGUGUCGCGAAAUUCUUCAAGCCUUGGAUGGAUUUUUUUUGUCUGUCCUUGGGCUUGGUUGUUGGGCUCUGCCGUGUCCUUCAUUGGGACGGCUGGCCUUAAAAGCAUUAGCCGAUCCUCGUGUGGUACUGGUUCUACUCAGCGUGAUAACAAUCUGAUCGUUGAGGACAUCUUCUGGAUGACCAGUCAUCAUUUGGGUUGCUUCUAAACCGGUUUCGCAGAUUGCUCAAUCUGUGUGCCACUUUUCAGCUUUGACCUCGAAUCAGGUGGGACUACCCGCUGAACUUAAGCAUAUCAAUAAGCGGAGGA
rnacentral:misc_RNA from 1 species